rnacentral:rRNA from 1 species
GAUGAACGCUGGCGGCGUGCCUAAUACAUGCAAGUCGAGCGAACGGACGAGAAGCUUGCUUCUCUGAUGUUAGCGGCGGACGGGUGAGUAACACGUGGAUAACCUACCUAUAAGACUGGGAUAACUUCGGGAAACCGGAGCUAAUACCGGAUAAUAUUUUGAACCGCAUGGUUCAAAAGUGAAAGACGGUCUUGCUGUCACUUAUAGAUGGAUCCGCGCUGCAUUAGCUAGUUGGUAAGGUAACGGCUUACCAAGGCAACGAUGCAUAGCCGACCUGAGAGGGUGAUCGGCCACAUGGGAAGGGAGACACGCUCCGGACUCCUACGGGAGGCAGCAGAAGGGAAUCUUCCGCAAUGGUCGAAAGCCUGACGGAGCAACGCCGCGUGAGUGAUGAAGGUCUUCGGAUCGUAAAACUCGGUUAUUGGGGAAAAACAUAUGUGUAAGUAACUGUGCACAUCUUGACGGUACCUAAUCAGAAAGCCCCGGCUAACUACGUG